CAAUAGCGUAUAUUAAAGUUGUUGCAGUUAGAACGCUCGUAGUCGGAUUUCGGGGCGGGCCGACCGGUCUGCCGAUGGGUACGCACUGGUCGGCGCGUCCUUCCUUCCGGAGACCGUGCCUACUCUUAACUGAGCGGGGGCGGGAGACGGAUCGUUUACUUUGAAAAAAUCAGAGUGUUUCAAGCAGGCAGCUCGCUCUUGCAUGGAUUAGCAUGGGAUAAUGAAAUAGGACUUUGGUGCUAUUUUGUUGGUUUCGAACACCGAAGUAAUGAUUAAAAGGGACAGUCGGGGGCACUCGUAUUCCGCAGAGAGAGGUGAAAUUCUCAGACCCGCGGAAGACGAACCACUGCGAAAGCAUUUGCCAGGGAUGUUUUCACUGA
rnacentral:rRNA from 1 species